rnacentral:rRNA from 1 species
UAGGGAAUCUUCGGCAAUGGACGAAAGUCUGACCGAGCAACGCCGCGUGAGUGAAGAAGGUUUUCGGAUCGUAAAACUCUGUUGUCAGAGAAGAACAAGGACGUUAGUAACUGAACGUCCCCUGACGGUAUCUAACCAGAAAGCCACGGCUAACUACGUGCCAGCAGCCGCGGUAAUAAGUAGGUGGCAAGCGUUGUCCGGAUUUAUUGGGCGUAAAGCGAGCGCAGGCGGUUUCUUAAGUCUGAUGUGAAAGCCCCCGGCUCAACCGGGGAGGGUCAUUAGAAACUGGGAGACUUGAGUGCAGAAGAGGGGAGUGGAAUUCCAUGUGUAGCGGUGAAAUGCGUAGAUAUAUGGAGGAACACCAGUGGCGAAGGCGGCUCUCUGGUCUGUAACUGCCGCUGAGGCUCGAAAGCGUGGGGAGCAAACAGG